GAUGAACGCUGGCGGCGUGCCUAAUACAUGCAAGUCGAGCGAACAGACGAGGAGCUUGCUCCUCUGACGUUAGCGGCGGACGGGUGAGUAACACGUGGAUAACCUACCUAUAAGACUGGGAUAACUUCGGGAAACCGGAGCUAAUACCGGAUAAUAUAUUGAACCGCAUGGUUCAAUAGUGAAAGACGGUUUUGCUGUCACUUAUAGAUGGAUCCGCGCCGCAUUAGCUAGUUGGUAAGGUAACGGCUUACCAAGGCAACGAUGCGUAGCCGACCUGAGAGGGGGAGCGGACAAAGUGGAAAUGAGAAACGGUACAGAACCCUAGGGGAGGGAGGAGGAGGGAAUUUUCCGAAAGGGGAGAAAGCCUAACGGAGCAACGGCGGGGGAGGGAAGAAGGGUUUCGGAUCGUAAAACUCUUUUAUUAGGGAAAAAAAAAUGGGAAAGUAAAUAUGCAGGUUUUGAAGGUACCUAAGCAGAAAGCCACGGCUAAAUACGU
rnacentral:rRNA from 1 species